AGAGAACGCUGGCGGUAGGCCUAACACAUGCAAGUCGAACGGCAGCACGGGAGAGCUUGCUCUCUGGGUGGCGAGUGGCGGACGGGUGAGGAAUACAUCGGAAUCUACUCUGUCGUGGGGGAUAACGUAGGGAAACUUACGCUAAUACCGCAUACGACCUACGGGUGAAAGCAGGGGACCUUCGGGCCUUGCGCGAUUGAAUGAGCCGAUGUCGGAUUAGCUAGUUGGCGGGGUAAAGGCCCACCAAGGCGACGAUCCGUAGCUGGUCUGAGAGGAUGAUCAGCCACACUGGAACUGAGACACGGUCCAGACUCCUACGGGAGGCAGCAGUGGGGAAUAUUGGACAGUGGGCGCAAGCCUGAUCCAGCCAUACCGCGUGGGUGAAGAAGGCCUUCGGGUUGUAAAGCCCUUUUGUUGGGAAAGAAAUCCAGCUGGCUAAUACCCGGUCGGGAUGACGGUACCCAAAGAAUAAGCACCGGCUAACUUCGUGCCAGCCGCCGCGGUAA
rnacentral:rRNA from 1 species